CUGGAAGAAUGGAGUAAAGGAUUAAAGAAGUACAAAUUAGUAGUUGAUAGUUGGGCACGGGGAGCAUGGCGCAGGGAAUGCAGCUAGCAUUAAUACGAUGGCUAAGUGGAGGGCCAGGGGAGGGAGGGAGCAAUUGGGGGGCAUUGUUUUAUGAACAGUAUAGAUCUCUAUCCAAUAUACUGUAUACUUGAAACUAAUUUAAGUAAUAAAUUUAUUUAAAAUAAAAACAACAACAAUGAAAAAACAUGCCAAUUGCAAGAGGCUACAUGCUGCAUGGUUCCAUUUAUAAUAUCUAUGAAUGGACGUCAUUAUAGAGGUGGAGCAUAGAGCUUGCCAGGGGUUAGGAAUGGGUUGCAGAGGGUGGCUGUACAGAAGUGUCUUGUGGUGAUGGUACAGUUAAGUAUCUUGAUUAUGGUGGUGGUUACAUGAAGCUACACAUGAUAAAAUUGCAUAAAGCUAUAUACACACAUGUAAACAAAUGCAUGUAUAAGUGGUAAAAUCUGAGUGACCUCUGUGGAUUACACUAAUGUCGAUUUCUCGAUUUUGAUAUUAAACUAUAGUUAUGCAAAAUAUUAACAUCGAGGGAGGCCGGAUGACUCGAUAAUUAUUUUGAAAUUGAAAAAAAAAAAAAGAGUGCUGGAUUGCCAGACUGGACACCUGAGUUUCUGGGUCUAGUUCAGGUUCUUUCCUUAACUCGCCUGAGGCAAUUCCACUGCUAUCUCUGGGACACUAUUAGCCCAUCUGUGAAAUGGGAAUUUUGGCUUAUGUCACUGGCUUUCAAAGUUUAAUCUUUAACAGUGAAACCCUCUGUUCCAAAGAAAUCUUACACUGAUGUAGACACUGUCAGCACCCCGAUAUUGUGAACCCCAGUGGGACUUCUGCCAGUACCUGUAACACUUUGCUGGAGGGCUAUACCUAAAACCAGUCCUCACUCCUUGGGCAGGACAACUGGGACACUGGCUCCCAGAGGUCCCCAGCUGACGACGGCGGAAACUGGCUUGGGAGCGUAUGCUUUAUCCAUUGUCUUCUCUCUGAGUCUCAUUUUCCCACUCCUCCUCUACCCGAGUUGCUUGGGAGCAUCAUCCAAAUAAACAACCUGUAUUCAGGUCCUUGUCUCAGGCCCUGCUUCCGCUUCCAACCAAAUUAGAAUCCCCAAAUGCGAAGCAAAUAACAGCCGUGGUCCCAGGAGGCAGGAGGGCCAGUGAGAGCUGUGCCAUGCGGGGACCUUCCUGGAGGGGUGGGCCUGCACAUGGACCUUGAGCGAUAAGUAGAUUUUGAAAAGGAAGACAGUAAAUAGGAAGGCACAACUGGAGAUGGAACUUCAUGAACCAAGACAGCAGGAGAUGAGACCCUGCUGUCCCCAUCCUCCGUGCUGACCAAGUCACUUUUAGUGGCAGCUCUCACCAUAUCUUUCCUUUUCACUCAAGACCAUGUUCCUCUUUUGACCAAGAAAGUGACCCAAAAGGGAUCGUGGUCACUUCCUUAUCGGGCCUGUGGUGGAGGCAGAGGACACGCACUAGGCCCUUUCCCAGCUCCCGCGGCCCCAAGCCACUUCUCCAAUGAGGAUUCCCAAGUCCCACUGGGGGCCACUGCAGGGCACCUCCCAAACUCCAAGUCAGAUGAAGGAGCCCCGAGCAGUGUGCUGAGGUUAUACCCUAAUGCCCGCUGAGCAGCGCGGUCCCAGGAGAGAGAACUGGGAAGGGAGUCCAGCUGCCCACUGUAGCGUGACCUCACGCAAACAUCUUCAUCCUUCUGAACUUCUAUCUCUUCAACAGUAUCCGCAUACCAGGAUCAUGGGACAGGAUAUGUGAAAGGGCUUCAUAAACCACAAACCAUAAACAGCCGUACUGUUCAGCUGUGAGUUACCAUUCUGAAGAGAGCAAAACUCUGUCCUCAUUCCACACUGUGUCCCAACACCUGGCACACUGCGUGACACCUGGAAGGGGCUCCGUUAAAUGCUUGCUUGCUGAAUGAACGAAUGAAUAAAUGGAUGAGCUUGGAUAUGUUAUCUAGUUCAACAAUUCGACCAACAAAGUACUGCUAAGGGCAUGUUAUGUGCCAGGAGCUGGGCUGGCCAUGGAGGAAAAUCACAAAUCAGAGAUGAGAUUUCCUACUCUUAAGAGCUUAUGGCAUCAGAGAGGAGCAACCCCUUUUCAAGGCCCGUAAUCUUCUUGCAAGGAGGCUCUGUCUUCCUUGCUGGCGUUGAUGAAGCAAGCAACCAAGUUGGGGAGCCCAUGUGGCAAGGAACUGAGGGAGGUCUCCCACUGACAACCAGCAAGAAGACCUUCAGGCUGACAACAGAAACAAACUGAAUUCUGCCAACAACUGUGUGAGCUUGGAAGUGGAUCCUUCCCCAGUCUGGCCUCAGAUGAGACUGAAGGCCCAGCAAACACUUUGUCCCUCUGUGAGACCCUGAGCAGAGGACUGAAAUAAGCACUGCCCAUAUUCCUGACCCACAAAAAUGGUGAGAUCAUAAAUGUUUGUGGUUUAA